GUGGAAGGUUACAAAGCCAAGUGAACUCAUGAUGACUAUGAUGGGGCUGGAAGCUCUAAUUACGAACCUUGCCCAAAAAGGAUUGAAAGAGUCACAAAAUUUAUGGCUCAGGGUAACUCUAACUGUGAGGAGUCAAGUGAGAACAAGGAAUGUGCUGAAGAGCUAGGUGAUUGAAGGUUAAUCAACUUUUUUCUCUGCAUGGAUGAAGAGCUGGACGAAGGGAGGGAGUUUUGGGGAUCUUAAAGCACUUCUCAUUGUCCUUUUUCUCUAUUUUAUGGUAUAUUUGGACUUGUAGGAACAAGGAAAACCAUAAAGAAAGAGCCUUUCUUUGCCAUUAAUGUGGUCUUGUAUUGUAAAAGUUUAAUUUCAAUGUGCUGGGUAACUUAUAGUUCAAAAAACAAAGAAAAGUCUUGAUAGUAGUAGGAUAAGCAAGUGUAGACCUUUAGAGAGAAGGAAAUGCAGGGGAUCCAAGCUUCUUUUGAAAAAAUAGAGAAGGUGGAUGGAUUCCUUGCAAAGUCUUGAUCCCUAGCAACCCUUGCCCCUAAAUUCUUUAUGAACAUUAGCUUGGAUAACAUGCAGUAAACUUUGAAUCUUAUACACUUUUAUGCUUGUGCUGUU